rnacentral:rRNA from 1 species
UACGAAGGGGGCUAGCGUUGCUCGGAAUUACUGGGCGUAAAGCGCACGUAGGCGGCUUUCUAAGUCAGGGGUGAAAUCCUGGAGCUCAACUCCAGAACUGCCUUUGAUACUGGCAACCUAGAGGCUGGAAGAGGUUAGUGGAAUUCCCAGUGUAGAGGUGAAAUUCGUAGAUAUUGGGAAGAACACCAGUGGCGAAGGCGGCUAACUGGUCCAGAUCUGACGCUGAGGUGCGAAAGCGUGGGGAGCAAACAGG